GGCAGAACUCAUCCGGGCUUUGCUUGACAUCCUCGGGGGCCAGGAGUUUGACGAGGUCAGGGAGCUGGAAGUACUCAGCUUCUCUUUUCAGCCUUCCUCUUUCUGGAAAGUGAUCAGGCAGGACCACCUGCCUGUCCCUGAGAUAGUCCAGAAUAUAACGGAACAGAAAGCCAUCUCUGUCAAUGAAAAACCUUCCCUUGGAGUCCUUGGCUAGAUCGUUAGCAGUGUCUCUCUUUGGGGAGAACAUUUUCCACAGGAGAGAAUGGGGGAUGCUUAUUAAUGUGGAAUGGCGAGUGAAGUAAACCUGGCCGCCAACAUUCAGCUCUAUGACUUCAGGGAAGGAGUUGGGAACAGCAGCCCCCUGGUCCCGAGGAUAAUAACGGCUACAGUUCCCACUUAGAGCCAUUGUCCCUUUCUUCUGCAGCCUCCUGGAAUUAAAGGUGCAAUCCAACUGAGUUACAGCCCUAGACUUUGCAUCCACGAGUGAGCAGGACAGAGAAAGCAGUGAGUCUCUGCGCUUACCUUAGCGAGUGAGUGCUGGAGACUCAGUUCUUGCGAAGAAAUAACCUUUUCCAGAGCAAUCAGAAACCACAGCCACACACUGAGCCUGGACGUCUUGUCAAAUCCCAAACAGGCAGUGGUGGCGCACGCCUUUAAUCCCAGCACUUGGGAGGCAGAGGCAGGAGGACUUCUGAGUUCGAGGCCAGCCUGGUCUACAGAGUGAGUUCCAGGACAGCCAAGGCUAAUACAGAGAAACCCUGUCUUGAAAAAAUCCAGAAAAACAACAAACAAACAAACAAACAAACAAAAACAUCAAAUUUUCUGUUGGAUUAAAACUUACAUUAAAGUUAUUUUUGCCUAUGUAAAAGAGAAAGAAAGAAAGAAAGAAAGAAAGAAAGAAAGAAAGAAAGAAAGGAAGGAAGGAAGGAAGAAAGAAGAAAGAAAGAAAGAAAGAAAGAAAGAAAGAAAGAAAGAAAGAAAGAAAGAAAGAAAGAAAGAAAGAAAACCAGCACAAAAUUGUAGGAGUAUAUUUCAAAGUAAAACAUCUUAUACUCUAAGUCAGAAAACAAUGACAGGAAGAAGAUUACUCCACUUCUCAGAAUAUCACUGACUCCUAGUACUGGCAGAACACUUAACACAUAGACCUUUAGAGUGCCACGCAACACAUCUUUCCACUGGUCCUCAGUCCCCAGUAAUCAAGUUAAGCCACUUUAUUCUCACUACGAAUAGUUGAUAUCUGUUCUUUUCCAUUUAUCUUGUGCUUUUUUAAAUUUUAAUGUGGUUUUUUUCUUGCUCAACAAAUAAUUAUUGAUAACUUACUAUGAUCCAGUCAAGCUCUAAAUUCUCUGCUCAAUCUUGGAAUCCAGAGAUGAAUAAAAUAGACAGGUCUUUGCCUUUAUGAAACUUCCAUUAUAGACGGCAAACAUAGAUACUAAUUAAGUCAGCAAACAUAAUCAAGAUAAUCCCCCCAAGUUAUAUUGUCUGUGAGCUACAUAGUAAUAGUGUUGAUGAACUGAUGUGUUGGCUGUGGCCAGGAAGUGGAUAAAUGCUUCAGGCUGGGACUCUGUGAGACAUGGAGACAGCCAUUUGCUUUUCUGGAAACUGUUGUAGGCAGAGAUCAAAACAAGGAAUGAUGGGUCUAGGCUGAGUUUGUUGAGGGAACUGAGACAGCUGGGGAAUCACUGGCCAUAGAGAGAAAGGAAAGGGGGAGGGAUGGUCUAAGAAGAAGAUAGGGGCCAAGCUCCAUGGGGUCUCAUCUACCAUGUGCUAGGAGUACAGAUCUCAUUAGGUCAAAUGCAAGAGAGGUCUUGUAUUCACUUGCUUUUCAAAAGAUGGCUUGGCCAACUGUAGUGGUGGGUUGUCAGCAUAGCAACAUUAGCUGUAGGGAAAUGAGGGAGAUGAGUCUGCAAGGAUCCGGCGAUGCACCGGAAGUAGUUCAGUGCAGGGUGAAGGUGAAUCAUGAAGGAAAGCUAGCUGGGAUCUCAGGUGUACUGGAGGGAUACAGGGAGCCAUAGUGCUGUAUGAGUUCACUGAUGUUCCCUCUAACACAGUGGGAACAUAUGUGGAAACAUAUAGUUUCUAAACUAUAGCAUCCCAGUUCAUUAAACACAAGCUGACACUGCUAUCUUUAUAAUGAUGUCAUCAGUUACCUUCAUGUCUUUAAGAUGAACCUUAGCAUAUAUUAAUUGCUCAUAUACCUUAGUUGGCUCCCACUGCUUAUAGAAUAUAGCCCAAAGUCCUCAAUACAGGUUCAAAGCCCUCUGCUACCUGACCUUACUUCUUUCAGAGAUAUAUUAAAUAAGUUCACAAGCAAAGGAGAAGAGAUAGAGAGCUAAAGAGAAGUCCUGAGAGGAAGCUUUCACGUUUGGGGAUAGUCACAGGAGUGGUGCUGCCUUUGAUAGAUGAGGGGCCAGGAUUCAUGCUUUCAUGCUGCUCUUAGAACCAAAAAAAUCUGUCACCAAUGAAAGAGCCACAGGGCAGCACGCAGUGUCUGUCUUCUGAUAUCUAAGGCAAGAGACCGCAAAGCUCAGGAAAUGAGAAGAAAUCGAGAAGCCCCUACUGAACACAAAUACAUAUCUGUAAUUAGCCCUGCUUUGACCCUAAUGUCAUCUGUUACCAUGUGUACAAUCUUAAGUUAGAAUGCAAUUGAACUAAUACCUCACUAUAAGAUUUAAUGGUCUAGUCAUAUGUAGGGAGAAGCUAAAGAAAUAAAAUGUGCAUCGUGUUGAA